rnacentral:tRNA from 1 species
GGAGUUGUGGCUCAGUGGUAGAGCACUCUCCUAGCACAUGUGAGGCACUGGGUUCGAUCUUCAGCACCA